rnacentral:rRNA from 1 species
UACGGGGGGAGCAAGCGUUGUUCGGAUUUACUGGGCGUAAAGGGCGCGUAGGCGGUCGUGACAAGUCACUUGUGAAAUCUCCGGGCUUAACUCGGAAAGGUCAAGUGAUACUGUCGGACUAGAGUACAGAAGGGGCAACUGGAAUUCCCGGUGUAGAGGUGAAAUUCGUAGAUAUCGGGAGGAACACCAGUGGCGAAGGCGGCGACCUGGGCCAAUACUGACGCUGAGGUGCGAAAGCGUGGGGAGCAAACAGG